rnacentral:rRNA from 1 species
UACGUAGGGUGCAAGCGUUGUCUGGAAUUAUUGGGCGUAAAGAGCUCGUAGGCGGUCUGUCGCGUCUGCUGUGAAAACUCAGGGCUUAACCCUGAGCUUGCAGUGGGUACGGGCAGACUAGAGUGCGGUAGGGGAGACUGGAAUUCCUGGUGUAGCGGUGAAAUGCGCAGAUAUCAGGAGGAACACCGGUGGCGAAGGCGGGUCUCUGGGCCGUAACUGACGCUGAGGAGCGAAAGCAUGGGGAGCGAACAGG